rnacentral:rRNA from 1 species
GACGAACGCUGGCGGCGUGCUUAACACAUGCAAGUCGAACGGAAAGGCCCUGCUUUUGUGGGGUGCUCGAGUGGCGAACGGGUGAGUAACACGUGAGUAACCUGCCCUUGACUUUGGGAUAACUUCAGGAAACUGGGGCUAAUACCGGAUAGGAGCUCCUGCUGCAUGGUGGGGGUUGGAAAGUUUCGGCGGUUGGGGAUGGACUCGCGGCUUAUCAGCUUGUUGGUGGGGUAGUGGCUUACCAAGGCUUUGACGGGUAGCCGGCCUGAGAGGGUGACCGGCCACAAUGGGCCUGAGAUACGGACCAGACUCCGACGGGAGGCAGCAGUGGGGAAUAUUGCACAAUGGGCGGAAGCCUGAUGCAGCAACGCCGCGUGCGGGAUGACGGCCUGCGGGUUGUAAACCGCUUUCGCCUGUGACGAAGCGUGAGUGACGGUAAUGGGUAAAGAAGCACCGGCUAACUACGUG